rnacentral:lncRNA from 1 species
CUACACCACACACACACACGCACGCACGCACACACACGCACGCACGCGCACACACACACGCGCACACACACGCACACGCCCGCGCACACACUCUCUCACACACACACAGAGAUUGGAGAGAGACAGGAGAGAGACAUGUUUUCAUCUAUCCUUUGUGGACUUCUGUUGUUUUUACUGCUGUGAAAUUUGACUUGCGAUAUCUGCUUAAAGCAAUGAAGAGAAAAGCUGAAGUCAGUGAUUAGGAGUGUCUGUGUAAGUAAAAGCAACAGGCAAUUACUGAGUGUGGUGUGAGAGGCACGGAAAGAUUGGGAAUUCAGCAAGAAGAGGAAUUGAAGUCAAACCUCACCUACUUCCCAGAGUCUUCUGGAUUUUCUGUUAGAAGCUUCAGUAUCUGAGAUAUUCCUAUGCAUUCUACUGCUUUAAUCCCACCUAAGUAGAGAUGUCCACAACAGAGAGAAUGGAGCUGUCACAUCGUUUCAACUGCCCAGGAAAGGACUCAGGCAACAAAUAAACAGCUAAGAUUUUACUAGAGUAUGAAAGGGAGAGCACUGGAGUGCAGUGCGGGGAUGGAGAUGCAGCUGUGGUGGCUGGAAGUACAGGAGGGCAGCUGGAGGCACCUGGCCUCUGAAGCCUGUCUUCUUCAUCUGGGUGAGAUCUGCUGGAGUCAGGAAGGACUUCCUGCUGCAAGGAUAAAGGUAAGCAGAAGAUCUCCACCAGUGCCCACUGCCAUCACAAACACCUACAAUCCUUAUAGCAGGUGAAUCCAGCAGUCCUCACAAGUCCUGAGACAGGUUUGGAGUCUUGCUGGGAAUUCACACAGCUGCAUUGUCCUAGAUUAGGAGAACAAGGUGUGGACCCCCAACCCUCUAUUCAUCCCCUGUGAGCCAUGGUGCUAUAGCAUGGCACCAUACUGAGACCAGAGCUACUUCUGCAGUGUGCCCUGCUCUGAGGGCCAGUAGCCACUUCACCUCUCCAGCACUUGGGCUCCAUCUUCAUUCCACCAAGCCCAUAUGGGAAGCUGAACACCUCAAUCCCAGAUUCGUAAAGCAUGGGCCAAGGAUGGGCUGUGGCUCUGGUCCUGUUCUGUUCAGGGUGAACCUGCCCUUGAGCUGGCCAAACUGCUGCAUACCCUCCCCAAAGCAGGAGAGGCCCCCAAGCCUGUGAGCAGCUGAUAUGCUCCAGGGCCAGUGAAGUGGCUAUGUGCUUGCACCCAGGAACUGAGAAACAGUCCCACAGCACACCUGCACCCUCCAGAGAGAGCCCUGGCCUGCCCCAGUGGCCCUGUAUCCCCAUUCAGGGCCUGAGAAACAAUUCCUCAGGCCACUCUUGGCAGGUAUGAUACUAAGCUGACCAAAUAGCCAAAAACACCUAUCCCAGACCUGAGUAUCAGCCCUGUGGGCCAAUCCAGGUGGACAUGCCCCAGGCUGGCCAAGCAGCCAUGUACCCACAUUCCGGGCCUGAGAAACAGUUUUUUGGGCUGCUGUUGGUGAGGACACCCCUGAGCCAACCAAGCAUCCUUGCAAUUGUGUUUCAGACCUAAGAAGCAUCAUGACCUGAGAAACAGUUUCACAGGCCACUCUUGGCAGGUAUGAUCCCAGGCUGGCCAUACAGCCAAAAGCCCACAUCCUACAUCUGAGUAACAGCCCAGGCUGACAUGACCCCAGGGCAGACAUGACCCCAGGCUGGCUGCCUAUUGAGUAAUUUCUUACGUUUUGCCUCCUCACAAAUGAAAUGCUAUCAUUUGUGAAAAUAUAAAUAGAAUUGGAGGAUAUUAUGUUAAGUGAAAUAAACCAUGAACAGAAAGUUAAACACUACAUGUUCUCAUUCAUAUUUGGAAGGUAAGAAAACGUUGAACUCAUAGAAGUAAAAUAGAACAGAGGAUACCUGAUGCUGGGAAAACUUGGGGGAAGGGAAGGAUAGGAAGGGAUUUGUUAAAGAAUAUAAAAGUUAAACUGGAUGAAAGGAAGUUCUUGUGUUCUCUACCACUGUAGGAUGACUAUAGUUAACAAUAAUAUAUCAUGUAGUUUAAAUAGCUAGAAGGAGGAUAUUGAAUGUUCCUAAUACAAAGAAAUGAUAAAAAUUUGAGAUGAUGGAUAUGCUAAUUAUGCUGAUCUGAUCACUGUCUAUUUAUCAACACCUCAUUAUAUAUCCUAAGAAUAUGUACAAUAACUAUUUGUCAAUCUAAAAAAUUAGAUAAAAAUUGUUUUGUCUUUUCUGGGUACUUUACAUGUUCAUAUAUAUUUUUGAGUCAGCUUGUCAAUUUCUACAACAAAAGCUUGUUGGGAUUUUGAUUGAGAUUAUGCUGAAUUUAUAACUUGUGAAGAAUUGAUUUCUUUACAAUAUUGGACCUUCCAAUACAUGAACAUAGUAUAUGUCUCCAUUUGUUUAGGUGUUCUUUAAUUUUUUUAAACAAUGUUUUGAAAUUUCCAGGAUUUUUCACUGAUUUAGUUAAAUUGAUCCUUAAAUAUUUAGCUUUUGAUGCUGUUAUUUUUAUUGAAAAUUUCUAAUUGUUACAUUCUAAUACAUGAAAACAGUAUAUAUCGUGAA